rnacentral:rRNA from 1 species
AAAAGAAACCAACAGGGAUUGCCUUAGUAACGGCGAGUGAAGCGGCAACAGCUCAAAUUUGAAAGCUGGCCCUUUCAGGGUCCGCGUUGUAAUUUGUAGAGGAUGAUUCGGCGAGGGCUCCCGCCUAAGUCCCCUGGAACGGGGCGUCAUAGAGGGUGAGAAUCCCGUAUGCGGUGGGCUGCCUUAGCCGUGUGAAUCUCCUUCGACGAGUCGAGUUGUUUGGGAAUGCAGCUCUAAAUGGGAGGUAAAUUUCUUCUAAAGCUAAAUACCGGCCAGAGACCGAUAGCGCACAAGUAGAGUGAUCGAAAGAUGAAAAGCACUUUGGAAAGAGAGUUAAAAAGUACGUGAAAUUGUUGAAAGGGAAGCGCUUGCAACCAGACUUGUCCGCAGUUGCUCAGCCGGUCUCCUGACCGGCGUACUCUUCUGCGGCCAGGCCAGCAUCAGUUCGGGCGGUCGGAUAAAGACCUCGGGAAUGUAGCUCCUCUCGGGGAGUGUUAUAGCCCGGGGUGGAAUGCGGCCAGCCUGGACUGAGGAUCUCGCUUCGGCAAGGAUGCUGGCGUAAUGGUUGUAAGCGGCCCGUCUUGAAACACGGACCAAGGAGUCUAACAUCUAUGCGAGUGUUUGGGUGUCAAACCCAUACGCGUAAUGAAAGUGAACGGAGGUGGGAACCCGCAAGGGCGCACCAUCGGCCGAUCCUGAUGUCUUCGGAUGGAUUUGAGCAAGAGCAUAGCUGUUGGGACCCGAAAGAUGGUGAACUAUGCCUGAAUAGGGUGAAGCCAGAGGAAACUCUGGUGGAGGCUCGCAGCGGUUCUGACGUGCAAAUCGAUCGUCAAAUUUGGGUAUAGGGGCGAAAGACUAAUCG